rnacentral:rRNA from 1 species
GGCGAAUAUGGGAAAGCUCCGGCGGCAAAGGAUGGGCCCGCGGCCUGUUAGGCUAGUUGGUGGGGGUAGUGGCCUACCAAGGCAAUGAUGGGUAGCCGGGUGAGAGACCGACCGGCCAGAUUGGGACUGAGACACGGCCCAGACUCCUACGGGAGGCAGCAGUGGGGAAUCUUGCACAAUGGGCGAAAGCCUGAUGCAGCGACGCCGCGUGCGGGAUGAAGGCCUUCGGGUUGUAAACCGCUUUCAGCAGGGACGAGGCCGCAAGGUGACGGUACCUGCAGAAGAAGCCCCGGCUAACUACGUGCCAGCAGCCGCGGUAAAU